rnacentral:rRNA from 1 species
UAAGGCGAUUGAUAUCGUUGGGGAUCCACCUCUUCCCAUCACGAACAGAGAAGUUAAGCCCAACAGCGCCGAUGGUACUGCAAAGAUUUGUGGGAGAGUAGGUCAUCGCCACUU